rnacentral:lncRNA from 1 species
UCAUCUCUGCCAAUGGUGCUGCUCUACAGAAAGACCAGAGAAAAUAUUGAAGUACAAGAUGUUACUGGGAUGCAUACAAGAGACACUGCUUGAUCAUUGCAUUCACAGGAACACUGAAUUGGUACAGGUCAGUUCUUCAUUAUUGUGCACUGAACAUAUAAUGGUAUACAAGGUGCGACUUUAGUGCUUAGGUGUGCCAAUGAUGGAAGGAG